UCAGGAUGAACGCUAGCUACAGGCUUAACACAUGCAAGUCGAGGGGCAGCAUUGGAGUAGCAAUACUCAGAUGGCGACCGGCGCACGGGUGAGUAACACGUAUCCAACCUGCCGCUUACUCGGGGAUAGCCUUUCGAAAAGAAAGAUUAAUACCCGAUGGUAUAAAGAGUUCGCAUGUUCUCUUUAUUAAAGAAUUUCGGUAAGCGAUGGGGAUGCGUUCCAUUAGAUAGUUGGCGGGGUAACGGCCCACCAAGUCUACGAUGGAUAGGGGUUCUGAGAGGAAGGUCCCCCACAUUGGAACUGAGACACGGUCCAAACUCCUACGGGAGGCAGCAGUGAGGAAUAUUGGUCAAUGGACGAGAGUCUGAACCAGCCAAAAGUAGCGUGAAGGAUGACUGCCCUAUGGGUUGUAAACUUCUUUUAUAAGGGAAUAAAGUGAGGGACGUGUCCCUUUUUGUAUGUACCUUAUGAAUAAGGAUCGGCUAACUCCGUGCCAGCCGCGGC
rnacentral:rRNA from 1 species